CUGGAAUGGGAAAUGGAAAGAGAAAACUAAAUAGCAUAAAAAAGUUUUUGUCUACUACUAAAUUUAGCCUUAUCUCCUGUAUCUUUUUCAGGACAGAUUAACAGAUUUUACAUCCUAUGAAGUCAACAAACAAAAGAUGGAUUAGGAAUUCUACAAGCAAAAUGUUCUCACCCACAAAGACCAGGUUGUUGUAAUUCUCCAACAUCACAUCAAUGUACAAAGACCGCUGAGCAGAGUCCAGGCAUUCCCACUCCUCUUGGGGGAAGUCCACAGCUACAUCCCUGAAUGUCAACAGACCCUGAAACAAAGAAGUAUGGUUUGACCAUUUGUUACCUGGAUGUGCUUUCCUAGAUAUAAGGAGAUGGAAUGUAGGUGAGCUAAGGAACAAUCAAUAGAUGGUUGCUUCCCUUUCAAAUCAAGGGGUCAAAAUGGAAGAGUUAAAAUUAAUACUGAAAGCUGUUAGAGAACAAUGUCAAACCACAUGAAAAGACCCAAGCAACAGAAUUCUACCAGGUGUCUAGUCAAUGAUCCCAAAACCAGGAAGGAGAGCAUGGAAAGACAUUUGAAGCUUGAAGAGAAAAUUACCAUAAAAUAUCUAGUUACACAAAGAAAAUUACUCUCUUAAAAUUGAUGGAGACUUAAGUGAAUUUCAAGACAGUCAGCAAUUAACACAAUUGAUUUCACUAAAGCAGCACUGCAGAUAAUAAAACAGAGGCAAAAUAUACACAGGAGAGUCAGAGAAUCAUUCAUGAGAACAUGGGAAAUAAUAAAUUUCAUGUAAAGAAGAGAGAAAUACAGGAGAACUGGAGAGUAAUCAUCCAUGAGCAAGACAACAAACUACUAUUUCUCAAAAAGAAGGAAGAAUACUACCAAUAAGCCAACCAGCAACAAACAAACAAAACCAUAGGAAAUAAAAAUGCCAUAAACAAAAAAACUCGCCAUACUGCAAAUCAAACUAGACAAUCCUCAAGUAAACAAACCCUGAAGUUAAAUAAAUUCAGCACAUGUCAUUCCUUUGUACAAGCUCAAAGACUUGACAUCCUGCUCCACAGACACUUGCUCACCCAUGUUCAUUGCUACUCUACUUAUAAUAUCUACAAAAUGGAAACAACCUAAAUGUCCUUCAACUGACAAAUAGAUAAGUGGAAGUGUGGUACAUAUACGCUAUAGAAUACUAUUCAGCUGUAAAGAAAAUUAAAAUCCUGAGCUCUGCAGGUAAAUAGAUUGACUUAUGAAAGAUCAUACUGAGUGAGGUAACCUGGCCCCAGAAAGAAAUGACGCAUGAUCUCUAUCAGAGAAGUUCCUAGCUACAAAUCUUCAGAUGUGAGUACGCAACUUGGAGUGAUUGUAGUACCCAGAAAAGUGAAAAGAGAUCACUGUGGGGUGUGGGUGAGUAAUAGAGAUGGAGUAACAGGGAACAAGUGAUCUGAAGGAGGAAAUGGGAAAACAGGGUUGAGGAUUUAACUAUGCAGAAGGGAUAGAUAUGAACACAGAAGAAGGAGGAUAAAAUAACAGUAAGGAUGUCUGGAAAAUUCAUAAGGAAUCCAUCUAUUCCUUGAUUCUUAUCCAUCUAUCCAAAAAUUCCUAUAAUACAUCUGUCUCUGUAAGAGACACUUUUAAGUAUAAAUGAAAAUCUCCCAAAUGGACUGAUGAUUCUCCUCAGAAGAGCCAUAGAAUUUCUAACAAAAUGACCAAUACCAGGUGUAAGAAGCCUGCUUUGAAGUUGUUGGUCACACUUGUCCAAGAGACUUCCAAAUAUUACAAGGUAUUGCUGUUGCCCAUGGUUUCCUCCUAGAAGUCGUUGAGUCCCUAAUGUUGAAACCACAUAUUACAGACACAAAUCCAAGAGAACGCCAGAUGGACAUGACCUCAACGCCUCCUCCCUGGGGACUAGCUUUCAUGGUAUCAGAAGGCAACAUGCAACUUUUCAAAGGUGGGAGCCAGUCAACAGUCCUGCCCAGCUAUGAUGCCUAUGAACCACAACAAUGAUCUGCACUGCAUGAUAGCCCUAAGGGUGUAAGAGUGGUACACAGACCUUGGUGGUAAUCAACAGCUUCUAAUUGGAUUAAGACCCUCUCAACCAGACAGAAAUUAUGGCUGGCACUGGAAACCUAGCCUGUUUCCCCAGGGCUAGUAAAGGCAUAGAUCUUGGAGGAGAAACUACAACCAGUACUUUACUAAAUCAGCAUAAGUCCCUACUGCAUUCUAAAUAUUGAUCCUUAUUGCCAACAGACAAUAUGAGACAGUAUAGAUGGAGUUUAGCAGCCUGUAUAUAUACUUGCUGAUUUUUAUCAAAACACUGUUGGCAUUAUUUUCAGGAAUGGAGGAGACAUUAACCUAAAAGAUAGAGAAUGUGCUAGAAUACCAAAAGCUCAAAAACUCUGAAUACAAUAACCGUAAAGGUAUUAAUUUUCAUUACUUUUAUAAUAUAUUAAAAUCAAAGAAAUAAAAAUGAUUUAAUAAUGGCA